AUUCCAGCUGAGGCUGCUGCAAAGUGACUCCAGUUCUAAAACCAGCUCUGGAAAAGGUCCUGUGCAUCAGCACUGAGGCACAGCUCAAACAACGAGGAGUUUCUUUGUGCCAAGCGGAUUAAAAAUACCCAAACCAACCCAACCAAACAACUCACGGAUUCUAUCGUCGUCUGAAAGGGAAAAGAAACAUUUUUAUUCAGUGCCACAAAAUUUGCAUCAAUAACAAGUCCAGUAGCACACCAGGAAAUUUCCACAUGAGUAAACUCCACUCACUGCAAAAAGGCUUGUAUCCACUCCUGGAAUUUAAUGGUUCAGCUGGCAUGUGAAAGCUGUUAUUUGGAGGUUUAAUUAUUAAGAUCAAAUUAAAUUUCAGCUAUUGCAGCAAUGAGCAGAUGCCAGCUGAGGGAUUCCUUGCUGGGGAAUGCUGGAGAGGAUUUUGGUGUAUCCACAUGGGAGCCUCCCUGCUAGGAGGAUGCUCAGAAGGCAUUGUGCCUUGGAUAAUGAACUAUUCAGGAGUUCUGGGAGUCCCAGGGAUGCCUUUUCCUGGUUAUGAAUUACUCCUGGUGAAAUCUGGCAAUGAACUGCCUCACGGUGACCUGUGGAGUUCCUGGUCAAUGAGGGGCUGCUGGAAUGAAGGGAAUGCUCCACUUCAUGGCUAUGGAGCUUUUCCUUCCCCCAGCAGGAGCUCUGGCUGGGACUUGUAAUGGAAAGUGUGAAGACUUGUGCAGAUGAAGAGCAAAGAGAACAAAGACCCUCCAAAACUCACUCUGUCUUUCCAACCAACCCCACAGAAUUUGUCUGUGAGCUUUCAUAGUUUUUGAAUUGCCAGCCACAAAAAACUUUUAAUUCUUUUUGGCCAGGCUGUGAGUGCACUCAGAGGGUGGAGCAGAUGAGGAGACACAGGUUUGGGGAAGCAGAACACAGAACUAUUUGCUUUCUGGAAGGCUGGAGUGAGGUCUUGGGGGAAAUCUGCCUCACACAGAGACUUGACAAGAGCCAUGAGGCUCUGGAUCAUCCUCCCCUGGACUGCCCAGGCAUGGGAACUCCAUCCCUCUGUCCCACAGGGCCAAACUGCAGACCCCCCAGCCUUCCCCAAACACCUGCAUCCAGGGCAUUUAGGAGCUGAUUCCCCAGGGCAGGGCUGCACUUUGGGCAUUUGUUCUCCCUUUACAGCUCAGCUGCCACGAUGCAACAAAGACAAUGGUUUGGAUGGACACAAAAUCCAUUUCUGGUGUGUGCAGUGCAAGUGUGGAGGAAUUCCUGUUGGCCUGAACCAUCCGCUCUCCUGUGAGCACCUGACACUGCACAGAGCCAAAGGUGGGAUCACUACAAGGGGAUCUUCUCUUCCUCCUGCUCUCUUCAUCAUCACAGGAAAUGUCAAGAUUUUCCACACAGGCACCUCUUUCCCCUGUGCACCCAUCUUGAGAGAGAGAAAAUGGUCAUGUGCCACUUGACCAAAGCAGGGGCUUUGCAAACACACCAAACACUGGAAGUUUGGUAGAAAGAAGCAGCAAAUCUCUUUUUUAUCUUAGUUUUAUCUUCACCAAACCUUCUCUGAACAACUCUGCACCCCCUUCUGCAUUAAUUUCCUCAAGCUGGGUAUCUCAAUGGCUUCUGACUUGCAGAGCAGCUCCUGCUGGUCCAGCUUCUUCUGCCUGCAAGGAAAUAAGUUUUCUGCCAGGAUUUUUGUUUUUCUGGGGCUCAGAGCAUGGCUGGGGCCCUGUG
ensembl:lncRNA